UGAAGAGGAGAUGAUGAACCACAAGAGGCAGCAUCUGCAGUGACACAUUCCACAGAGUCUUUCGAGAAUUUAUCUUCUGCAAUUACAAAAAAGAAGAUCUGUGCCUGGUGGAGCCAUUCAAGUGUCCAGCUUGUAC